GAUAGUAGCAAGAUGGAGAGCGAAGGAGGAUUAGAGGAGAGGUCGGCCUGUCGGUUCUUCCUCCGGUUGUACUUCGCCAUGAUCAAGCUCUAAUCAAGCUUGCUCAUGGGAUGACUCUGGUAAUCUACUUCUAAUUCAUUAUGCAAUUACUAAUCAUGUAUGUUCUGGUUCACAACUCUUUUGAGUACUUCUAAUCUAUAGGACCCUAUAGGUUAGAGUUGUAGUAUAGGUGUAAGCGUGGUGCUUAGACCUAGAUUACCUGUGGAUAUCCCCUGUCUAGCCGGAUCGUGUGGUAGGCCACGUAGGUGACAGUUACGUUGGUCCCCUGUAGUCCACCUCUCGUUAGCAGGACGGGUAGGGUUUAUCGGCCUAUGGAUAAGCAUCCUUUGUGGUGUACUCUUAUCACGUGGUUCGUCCCAGACAUAGACAUACCCCUUUGAAGUAGAGAAACCAUAGUUAUCCUCUCUAUUCUGCUACCAUCGCCCAUAUACUAGAAUUGCUCUACUCUCUAUUCCCAUAUUACCAACAACUGUUAUCUUACCUUUAAUAUUGUUCUUAUUCGAUUCUACCAUCUUUCUUAUUCACACCUAUUUACUUAUCUUGGUUAAGUUAGAGCGUAGAUCAGUUCUCCCGUUUCCCUGUGGAUACGAUAAAACCUUUAACCGGGUAAAAGCUUCAACGGUAUCCGUGCGCUUGCGGAUUAUCUGUGUGCGUAUAAAUACCAUAGUUCACUCUAGUGCCAUGCUGGGGAUGACAACCUAGUAUUCAAGUGGUGUUAGCAAGUGUCAACAAGCACUUUUGGCGCCGUUGCCGGGGAAACGGUUGCUGAGUUGACUACGAACUAGUUUAAUCAUUUUAUAAAAAAAAAUAAAAUAAAAUAUAACAAAAAAAAUAUAUAUUUUCCUUUUAUCCUUUGCCUCAUCUCUGCUAUUCUUUCUUCUUAUCUAAUCCUUGAUCUCUGGUCUAUUAUGAAUUCAAAGAUGUCUAUCUAUGAAUUUCAUAGACCUAUGGGCACACAUCUCGAACCACCAAAAUCUUUAAAGCCUAUCAUAGCAUCUAGUUUUGAGAUAGACCCCGAAUACAUAGAAUUUAUUCGAAAACAACCUUUCUCAGGAGAAGGUGAGGAAAACCCAUACACACACCUAAGAGAGUUUUAUCGAGUCUGUGACCUCCUUCGCAUAGAAGGAAUGUCCGAUGAGACCCUCAAAUGGAAGCUCUUUCCGUUCUCUUUAACGGGAAAAGCUAGACUUUGGUACAAACUCAAAGUAGGGAGUGUUCAUGGAGAUUGGAAGGAGUUAUAUAGUAGUUUUCUUUCUAAAUAUUUUCCAAUCUCCAAAGUGGUGGAACUUCGGCGUGAGAUUCUUUCUUUUAGACAACUGGAAGAAGAAUCUCUUGGCAAAUCAUGGGACCGCUUUAUUAACCUUACUCUCACUGGCCCAAAACUUUCUAUUCCAGAAGAAGUUCUUCUAAUUCACUUUUUUGAGGGCCUUAGUAGGAAAAAUAAGCAAACCCUUCAUGCGGCCUCUGGAGGAUCUUUCCACCACCUAUCCGCUAGUGAAGCUUGGAAUUUGAUUGAUUUAAUGAGCGGAAAGUCUCCUAGCUUUUAUAUCCCUGAGAAAGAGAAAGAACCAGUUCCUAGACAAGAAGAAGAAGUUUCGAUAGCCAGAUCACAACCACUUCAAUCCCAAACUUUAGCUAUCGAUCCUAAACCAUCAAUACCCCAAAAUUCUCCAAGGGAGGAAGGAAUUCCGACCUUAAAUCUUUUAGAUGCUGAUGGUUUAGACUUCUCGUUCUAUAAGAGACCUUCAAGCAGGGAUAAUUCAAAUCAUUGCAAUAAUGUUUCUCCUGGUUCCUAUCAAGAAGAAGUCGAGGAUGACAUAUCAAGUGAAGGAGAGCUAAGCCAUAUAGACAAUUCUAUCUACUCCCCUUCCAUGUUCACAAGUUCUAAAUCCAUCCUUGACCUUAGAGAUCCCUCUUAUCCCUCUUCUUUUCAGUCUCAUGAUGAUCCUAGCAAUUCACCAAGACAACCAAACCAUAGGAGUCAUGAAGACCAUAAGGAUGGCAUAUCAAGUAAUGCCAUAGAAGGAGAGCUAAGCCAUAUAGAAAAUUCUAACACCUCCCCUAUUUUGAUCACAAGUUCUAAAUGGCUAGAAUGUGUAGAAUGGAUGGAUAAGGAAGAAGCCUUAAUGGGUUCUGACUUUGGCUCAAUUUCAAAUGGUGAGUUCUUGACUCCCUUUGAAGAUGAGAUUCAUCCAACUAUAGAAGAGGACAUAGGUGAGACCAAUCCAGGAGAAACUCCGAACAUUCAGAUUAGAGACGAAGAUAACAUUAAUGAGCAUGGAAUUUAUUUCAUAGACACUUCGUUUACUCCAUGCUCAUAUGCAACAUCUUCCCAAUCUAUUGGUCUCUCCGACAUCACCACACUUGAGAUCUCCAACCCCCUCUUCCUUUCUAUUUAUAAAAACUUUAAAAGGGCGGUUGUCGAUGCAUAUGUCUAUAAUAAAUAUUGCAAAUCUCGUUGAGUUGAUCUAGAUAUAGGUUGGCGUCGGAGGGGAAACCACUUCGCCAACAUAAACUGAUGGUUUCCCAAGGACAAGCUUAGUGUCUUAAAAUAAGCAUUGAUCAGAUCGUAACAUGAGCCUUUAAUUAUUUGCAACAUUACCUUGUGUAUUGAGCAUAUAAGGAUAAUUGUAAAAAAAAAUAUUCCUUCGGGUAUUCUUGUCACUAACCUUUCUAAGAUUGGAGCAAGAAGAUCGGAUGAAUGACAAGCACAAGGUAUGUCCAACCAAUCAUCAUACAACAUUGAAUUAAAUUCAUCCAAACUUGAAUUUUGCAAAAUUCAAGCUUGGUGGAGUACUUUACAUAAAAACAUCCUUUGCCAUGUUGCUAUGCUGGUUGUCCCUACCUUUGAGACAUGCUCAAUUUGUUAAAUACUAAUCACACUACUUCAUCUCCACUUGAGUAAAUCUCUAUAAAUGCUGUCAUGCUACCUUUGUCUAUUUACUAGCAAGUGUUGGUUUGGAAGUACUCGCCAUACUUCCAUUGGCAUUUAAAUUAAGCAUGGUGCUUAGGUUAAAUAGCCUUCCUUAAUCUGAUUAGACAUGGAGUCUAGUUUGGUUAUUGAACUAAAAAAAACUGCUUGAGUAGAUAUUGGUAUAUUUUGUCGGACUAACCCCUGCAGAAAAACUUUCAAUAUCAAUUUGGGAAGUCUUGAGAUAAACUCACAUCAGAGACGAAGAGAGUGACACAGGAAGUUUAACAAUUUGCACAAGAAGGACAUAGCUCACUCAUCAUAGAGAGAUGAUCCAUGGAGGGUGCCACGAACACGAUGCACAACCGCUAAGAAAGGAAAGCUUCCACAAGGUGAUACUGUACCUUCACUUUUCAAGCAAGGUAACAUCCUAAGGUAUUUGACUAUCACUUUUAUAAGCUUCUCCUUGGUUCUGGCGUUCAUAUAAAUAAAAGAGACAAACGUGUAUGAUUUACAACUCUAGAUUAACCAACCCAACUGAUUCAACAUGUUUAGUCCUUUAAUCCUUGUUCUUAGUACUACCUCCAUGAUCUCACACUCCUAAUCAUAUGAGCUAAAAUGUUACACAUUCAAUCAUUGAGAGAUAUAAAGAAAAAGACAUAUACAUAGAUAGAUUAUCUUUCCAUAAGGUUGAGUGAUCUGAUCUGACAAAUGUUAUAAGUGCUACACUCAUGAACUUAUCAUCCAUCAACUUGUCUUGCUCACUAUGCUUAAGAUUAGAGAAGAACAAAUACACUUUUGGUUCUGUUGGUGUUUUCCACCAACAGAGCCCAUGCACUUGAUCUCUGCCUUGUCUCUAUGAGCAGGUACACUACGAGCACAAACACACUGAGCAAGAUACUGCUAACACCGCACUUCGAACUGCUGGGCAAACGAAGAACAUGGGUGACACCGUAUUAAAAGGUGCAGACGUCAAGGUCCGCACCUGAAUCAAAUGACGCACCUGAAGAAUGAACACGAUGAGAAGUCUUGACAAGAAGACUUAAAACAUUGAACCCUCGCCGAAAGGUAAGAUUGGUAGUUAUCCAUAUUUAUCCUUUCUGCAUUCCCUUUUCCAUUUAAUUAUUUACUUUCCUUAAAUAGAUUAUUAGUUAAAUCAUGCUAUCUUGAAAAGAAAAUAAAAAUGUUAAAAAAUACUAAGCCCCAUGUGAGUAUACGAGUGGCAUAAAACUCAUAAGUACCUUCACUGUGGUGGCAUAAAAAUAAAAUAAAUAUUUCUUUUCUACUUUAUAAAAUAAAAAUAUAAAAACAGGGAGUAAUAUUUAAUGAGGAAGCUCAACGUGAUGAAGGCUAGAUAUUUAUGCUAACACUUAAUUAGUUCCACAAGCUUUGUUGUCUAUUUGAGCUCCACAGAAUUUAAGAAUCAAGAAGACUAGCAGACAGAGGACAUUCUAAUCGCUGUCAGAAUACUGCUGACUUUCAAAUACACCUCUGCCACCUGCUAGCUACAUCAAGAGAAAUUACGUCAAAAUUCAGCUUGGAGGAGAGCACCCCCAUUUAUCUCGCUAAGUAUUUCUACCUAUCUUUAUACUUAUAUUAUAUUAGAAUAUUAAAAUACAUAAACUAUGAAAAACCAAAUAAAGAUUUUGUGCUUAUAUAUAUAUCUUUUGCUUAGUGUGUUUAAUAAAUAAAUAAAGUGGCUAUGUUAAUCUGAAUCUUAAUAAUAAAACUCUAGCAUGGAUAUGAUGAAUAGUUGCUCUGCCUAAUUUGCAAAUUUGAAGUUCUCUCUCAAGUUUAGACAUAACUGUUAUAAUUUAAAGCUUGCUCUAGAUCUAAACUUGUGGGAUCAAAACUUGAUCUGAAAUCUAAGUUGUUAACGGAUAUGAUAUGGGAAGGUUGAGCUGUUGUUUAUCUAUUCCUAGAGAUGCUAGAAUUCUGGAGAAUUUUAUCUUUGAAAAAUCUUUAAAAUGUUGCAUGAUGAGUUCCUGUAUGAUGAAAGUUUAAAUUCCUACCACAGCCAUAUAUACAUGCUUGCUAGACUUUGAGCCACACAUUUAUUAUUUACUGCUUAUGAGCAUUGAGUGUGGUCAAGCUGUGUAGACCCUUAGGAGCUUGUCAUGUGGUUAAAUCAAGAUUCACUUGCACGUUCACUCAUAUAUAUGCUACUUCUACUCCGGAAGUACCAUCCACAUAUAUCCAUCCAUUUCCAUCUCCAAAAUCACCUAAAAAUAUUCUAUUCCUAAUUCGGGAGAGAAUAGCCAAAAACAUCUGUGUUUUUCUCUUGUGAAAUAAAUGCUCAAGUUAUCUUGCUACUACCACUUGCUAUAUUAUCUCAAGAGAUGAGUGCUCUGAAAAAAAAGAAAAAAAAAAGAGAAAAGAAAAAAAUAAACGAGGAAAUAAAAAGCGGCAAGUGCCCGGAACCUCGAAAUAAAAGAAAAAGAAGUGAGACGAGAGGUAAAAAUGGACAAGUGUCCGACAGUAGAAUUAGGGGUACAGGAUAAAAGAAGAGAAUCUCAUUCUCCUCAUAAAGUUUCAAAAAGCAAGGAAGGUAUGUAUCCCCUCAAAAGAGCAAAAGUAGAAUUAGACUUUCACCAUUGUUAUCACCAUCAUCACCAUACACUAUUCAUUCGCCACACAUGCAUAUCUUGAUUUGGCUUAUUGAUUUGUUUCUUUGGAUCCAUGGUUUGACUAUACAAUAAAUGUCUUGUAAGUAUGUAUAUUUUAUCUCCCACCUAUGAGCUCCAGAUAUUAAAGCCUUAUUAGAGUAAGGUGAGAGAGAAGACAAUGUCACUAUCCCUUAUACCACAAAUACCACAUAUUUUGAGAGAAGGCAUAUACCAUCACUGCCUUGGUAAGGAACCAGAAAUACCACAAAAGAGAGAUAUGAGAGAGUCAUACAAAGGAAUCUCUGAGUUUUAUUUGGAAAUCUGCAAAAACUCCAGAGCUAUAGCUGAUCAAGAAUAAGCGACAUGGCACUUGACUGGACUGUUCUAUCUUUUAACCACUCAAGACACAAGUGACGGUUACAAGUCCCAUGGUGAAAGGUAAAGUAAGUAAGUUUUAAGUCUUGACAGUUUACUCUAACUCAGAGAUGAGACCUCAUUUAAAAGCAUGUGUACCGUCAAUUUUUAAAGAUAUUGCAACAACUUAUGAUCCAUAGCUGAGUCUAUCCUUCCUCAGGGACGAGCAAGAGGUAAGCUUGGGGGAGUUUGUUGACGGUCCUUAAGUAUCAAAUUUAACUAUCAAAUAAACAAAGAAAAGGAUCCAAAUGAAAUCAACAUCGAGACUUAGUGUUUUAUCUGACAGAAUUCCACGAGUUUUGGUGUUUGUCUAUUUCUGCAGGAGGUUAUCAGGAAAUAAGGAAGAAAGGCCCACACGUCCGGAUUACAUAGAGAUAUCAACGUGUCGCGCAAUUAUCUUACAUCUAGAAGACUCCAGAAGCCACGGGAAGGAAGCGGAGACCGAACGGAGUCAGGGACAGGGCGCCCGCCCAAGUCCCUAGGGCGCCCGCCCACCUUUUUCGGCCAAUCACGCUCAAUCUCGCGGAUUAUGCUCCACCGACCUAAAGGAUCAAGAAUAACCGUUCAAUCAAUGUCGGUUUGAUCCGACGGCCCAGGUUCACUUGAGGGGACUAUAAAACCAGACCCCCUGGCCCCUGGAGGAGGCAACCCCUUGAUCAUUAUUCAUUAUUCAUAGACAGAGCAAAAGCUAGGGUUUAGAGAUGAGAGCUCUCCUCUCUUCUCUAAACUAGAGUAGAUCUAGAUAGUAGCAAGAUGGAGAGCGAAGGAGGAUUAGAGGAGAGGCCGGCCUGUCGGUUCUUCCUCCGGUUGUACUUCGCCAUGAUCAAGCUCUAAUCAAGCUUGCUCAUGGGAUGACUCUGGUAAUCUACUUCUAAUUCAUUAUGCAAUUACUAAUCAUGUAUGUUCUGGUUCACAACUCUUUUGAGUACUUCUAAUCUAUAGGACCCUAUAGGUUAGAGUUGUAGUAUAGGUGUAAGCGUGGUGCUUAGACCUAGAUUACUUGUGGAUAUCCCCUGACUAGCUGGAUCGUGUGGUAGGCCGCGUAGGUGACAGUUACGUUGGUCCCCUGUAGUCCACCUCUCGUUAGCAGGACGGGUAGGGUUUAUUGACCUAUGGAUAAGCAUCCUUUGUGGUGUACUCUUAUCACGUGGUUCGUCCCAGACAUAGACAUACCCCUUUGAAGUAGAGAAACCAUAGUUAUCCUCUCUAUUCUGCUACCAUCGCCCAUAUACUAGAAUUGCUCUACUCUCUAUUCCCAUAUUACCAACAACUGUUAUCUUACCUUUAAUAUUGUUCUUAUUCGAUUCUACCAUCUUUCUUAUUCACACCUAUUUACUUAUCUUGGUUAAGUUAGAGCGUAGAUCAGUUCUCCCGUUUCCCUGUGGAUACGAUAAAACCUUUAACCGGGUAAAAGCUUCAACGGUAUCCGUGCGCUUGCGGAUUAUCUGUGUGCGUAUAAAUACCAUAGUACACUCUAGUGCCAUGCUGGGGAUGACAACCUAGUAUUCAAGUGGUGUUAGCAAGUGUCAACACUGCUACAAGUGCAACAGCCCCAACUAUUGCUUCUUCAGAUACUACUUCCUCUGCACGUAGUAGAGAAAUUAUGUGCCAUAAGUGCCAUGGUCAUGGACAUAUUGAUGCACAGUGUCCUAGUAGGAGGGCCAUGAUUGUGAAUGAGAAUGGUGAAUGGGAAUCUAAAAGUGAUCGUGAGGAAGAAGG
rnacentral:lncRNA from 1 species